UGAGGAAUUUUGCGCAAUGGCCGCAAGGCUGACGCAGCAACGCCGCGUGGGUGAUGAAGGCCUUCGGGUCGUAAAGCCCUGUCAGGUGGGAAGAAAGGUUUCAAGGAGAAACACUUGGGAUUUGACGGUACCACCAGAGGAAGCACCGGCUAACUCCGUGCCAGCAGCCGCGGUAAUACGGAGGGUGCGAGCGUUAUUCGGAAUUACUGGGCGUAAAGCGCGUGUAGGCGGGGAUGCAAGUCUGAUGUGAAAGCCCUGGGCUUAACCUGGGAAGUGCAUUGGAAACUGCAUUUCUUGAGUACUGGAGAGGAAGGGGGAAUUCCCGGUGUAGAGGUGAAAUUCGUAGAGAUCGGGAGGAAUACCAGUGGCGUAGGCGCCCUUCUGGACGGUAACUGACGCUGAGACGCGAAAGCGUGGGGAGCAAACA
rnacentral:rRNA from 1 species